rnacentral:misc_RNA from 1 species
CCCAACCUAAAGAUAAAAUUUAAACCUAAGAACUUCUUUGAUAAUUAUUAUGAAACAAUUAAUGUAACAUUUCAAAUUUAACAUAAAUUUCCACAUCAAUAAGAAAGUUGUUUAAAAAAAUUUAAAGAUAUAAUUUAGGUAGGCUUUUGUUCCUUUCUUUUAAUUUGAAAUAAAUUUAGGCGGUCAACAUAUUAAUUUGAAAAUUCAUUAAAAUAUAGAUAUUUCAUUAAUAAAAACAAAUCAAAGGAAUUUAAAAAAAAAUUGUUAUUUUGAUUCGAACCCCAACAGCAAGGUACAAAAAUAAGAAUGCAUAGUCAGCUAGUCUGGUAUCUCAAGCUGAAGACAUGUGUACUGUUCAGAUCAAUAUGUAAAGGAUAUUUUUAAAAAUUAAUUAAAAAAGAAUAUUGUUGUUGACAGUUGAACCCAAGGUGUUGAAAAAGUGAAAAAGUAAAAAAUUCAAGGUUUUGAACUACGAUAGGAAUAAGUAUUUGGCAAAAGGUAAAACAUGGAAAACAAUUUAACCUAGUUUUCAAAGGUUUGCUUAAAUUGGAAAAACAUGUAAACUUGAUUUCUAAUUCUCGAUUUGGAAAAUUUUUAGAAUAAAAUAUCAACAUCCAUUUUCCACUUUUCUUGGAAUAAUUUUGGUAGAAGUAAUUGGCAUCAUAACCAACUAUGUCAG